rnacentral:misc_RNA from 1 species
UCCGGCUUAUCACCGGCAGUCCCUCUAGAGUGCCCAACUCAAUGCUGGCAACUAAAGGCGAGGGUUGCGCUCGUUGCGGGACUUAACCCAACAUCUCACGACACGAGCUGACGACAGCCAUGCAGCACCUGUCUCACGGUUCCCGAAGGCACUCCCUCAUCUCUGAAGGAUUCCGUGGAUGUCAAGGCCAGGUAAGGUUCUGCGCGUUGCAUCGAAUUAAACCACAUACUCCACCGCUUGUGCGGGCCCCCGUCAAUUCCUUUGAGUUUCAGUCUUGCGACCGUACUCCCCAGGCGGCGAACUUAACGCGUUAGCUUCGAGACUGAGUGCCUAAGUGCACCCAACCUCCAGUUCGCAUCGUUUAGGGCGUGGACUAC